CAAAGUUACCUCUACCAAAAUACAAGUAUUCCCUAUAAGAAAAAAUGUAGGGAACUUGUUCCAAAAUCCAGUUGAAAGUACGAAAUAUUUGUGCUUUUGCAAGCCCAUAUUCUCAUAUUACAUUGAUAUGUAGUGCUGCGCGAGAAUCGAUAAUACAAACCGAUUUUUCGCGAGCAAAGACUCCCCGAAUAUAGUUGAAAA